rnacentral:tRNA from 1 species
GGCGACGUGGCCGAGUGGUUCAAGGCGGGGGACUGCAAAUCCCUUUCUCCCCCGGUUCAAAUCUGGGUGUCGCCUGAUCAACAAA